AAGUCGUAACAAGGUUUCCGUAGGUGAACCUGCGGAAGGAUCAUUAUGAAUUUGGAACUUGUGCAGUGUGGCUGUUUCAUUUAUUUGAACGCUCGUGCGCAAUUCUUUUUUCUGUGAACUGGAUGUUCGCUCUCUCUCUCUAGCCUCUCUCUCUCUAAAUGUCAUGUUUAGAGAGAGAGAGGCGUUGUGGAGUAGUGUUCAUUUAUUUUGUUUUCUUGUAUUAUUCCACUUAUUAUUAUUAUUUUCGAGUAGUUCUUGCAAAAGAACGAAACAAAAUGAUAUAUAUAAAAAACCAAGACAACUUUCAGCAAUGGAUCUCUUGGCUCUU
rnacentral:misc_RNA from 1 species